CCUACGGGUGGCAGCAGUCGAGAAUCAUUCACAAUGGGGGAAACCCUGAUGGUGCGACGCCGCGUGGGGGAAUGAAGGUCUUCGGAUUGUAAACCCCUGUCAUGUGGGAGCAAAUUAAAAAGAUAGUACCACAUGAGGAAGAGCCGGCGAACUCUGUGCCAGCAGCCGCGGUAAUACAGAGGUCUCAAGCGUUGUUCGGAAUCACUGGGCGUAAAGCGUGCGUAGGCUGUUUCGUAAGUCGUGGGUGAAAGGCGGGGGCUCAACCCGCGGGCGGCACGUGAUACGGCGGGACUGGAGUAGUGGAAGGGGAACCGGAAUUGUCGGUGAAGGAGUGAAAGGCGUAG
rnacentral:rRNA from 1 species